UACGUAGGGGGCAAGCGUUGUCCGGAUUUACUGGGCGUAAAGAGCGUGUAGGCGGCCACGCAGGUCCGUUGUGAAAACUGGAGGCUCAACCUCCAGCUGUCGACGGAAACCGUGUGGCUAGAGUCCGGAAGAGGAGACUGGAAUUCCUGGUGUAGCGGUGAAAUGCGCAGAUAUCAGGAGGAACACCGGUGGCGAAGGCGGGUCUCUGGGCCGGAAGCUGGACGCUAAGGGAGCGAAA
rnacentral:rRNA from 1 species